AUGAGUCUUUGCCAAAAAGACGCUGAGGUUAUGCUCUUUGGCGUCGCCCAAGGAUGAGGCCGCGACCGAUCAGGUUGUUGGUGAGGUAAUGGCUCACCAAGCCUUUUACCGGUGCGGGCCGUGAGAGCGGGAGCCCGGAGAUGGGCACUGAGACAAGGGCCCAGGCCCUACGGGGCGCAGCAGUCGCGAAAACUUUGCAAUACACGAAAGUGUGACAGGGCUAUCCCGAGUGCCAUCCGCUGAGGAAGGCUUUUACCCAGUCUAGAACGCUGGGGGAAUAAGGAGAGGGCAAGUCUGGUGUCAGCCGCCGCAGUAAUACCAGCUCUCCGAGUGGUGUGGAUGUUUAUUGGGCCUAAAGCAUCCGUAGCUGGCUAAGUUAGUCCCCUGUUAAAUCCACCGAAUUAAUCGUUGGAUUGCGGGGGAUACUGCUUGGCUAGGGGACGAGAGAGGCAGACGGUAUUUCCGGGGUAGGGGUGAAAUCCUAUAAUCCCGGGAAGACCACCAGUGGCGAAGGCUGUCUGCUAGAACGCGCCCGACGGUGAGGGAUGAAAGCUGGGGGAGCGAACCGGAUUAGAUACCCGGGUAGUCCCAGCUGUAAACGAUGCAGGCUAGGUGUUUGGACGGCCACGUGCCGUUCUAGUGCCGCAGGGAAGCUGUUA
rnacentral:rRNA from 1 species